rnacentral:lncRNA from 1 species
GUAACAGUCCUGCUGAAGCGUAUCCAGGGUAACAGUCCUGCUGAAGAGUAUCCAGGGUAACAGUCCUGCUGAAGAGUAUCCAGGGUAACAGUCCUGCUGAAUAGUAUCCAGGGUAAGAGUCCUGCUGAAGCGUAUCCAGGGUAACAGUCCUGAUGAAGAGUAUCCAGGGUAACAGUCCUGCUGAAGAGUAUCCAGGGUAACAGUCCUGCUGAAGAGUAUCCAGGGUAACAGUCCUGCUGAAUAGUAUCCAAGGUAACAGUCCUGCUGAAGAGUAUCCAGGGUAACAGUCCUGCUGAAGAGUAUCCAGGGUAACAGUCCUGCUGAAGAGUAUCCAGGGUAACAGUCCUGCUGAAGAGUAUCCAGGGUAACAGUCCUGCUGAAGAGUAUCCAGGGUAACAGUACAGUAACAGUACUGCUGAAUAGUAUCCAGGGUAACGGUCCUGCUGAAGAGUAUCCAGGGUAACAGUCCUGCUGAAGAGUAUCCAGGGUAACAGUCCUGAUGAAGAGUAUCCAGGGCAACAGUCCUGCUGAAGAGUAUCCAGGGUAACAGUCCUG